AAACAGGGGGUGACCUGAGUGUGGAAGAUCCAGAGAGAGGUUCUGGGACAGGGCUGGGCUCUGAGGAUGACAGAGGGCUUUGCCUCUGGUCCAACCCCACUUAAGGGGAAGGGGGAGAGGGUAAAGAUGAGGAAGAGACAGGCCGCUGCUCAGAUGCUGGAGCCCGCGACCCCAUAAGAGGGACGUAUGCAAAUUGUAUGUAAAUCAGCGAGUGCCCGAGCGUUGACCCCUUGGCUGCCCGGACCCCCGCUGGGCUCUCUGUCCCAGCAGUCUGGGGGCAGGGGCCGGCCGGGUCAGGGCCCACUGAGGAAGAAGCGAAGUCUCACAAGUUUCCUUCCCGACCCUGGCCUUGCUCAGGGCGAAAGAGGUUCCUAGAGAAACCCGCUGUCCUUGUGAACGAGAGUUACCUCCUCCAGCCCCUUCCCAGCCACUGCUCCCGCCCACUCCCGUGUGUGUUGUUGGGGAGGAGAGGUGUUGGGUUACCGCUGCGGGGGCUAUAGUUAGCCUCGGGGACUUUGUUUAUUAGCUGGACUCUGGGGACAGCUCAGCCUGCCCCGAGUGUCAACACUCUUUCCUGCUCUCGGCCUCCGCAGUCUCCAGGUGGGUCCUCGUCCCGCACCCCUCUCGGGCGGAGCCAAUACAGCCCCACCUGUACCGUUGCAAAAAGGAUGGGGGACAGGUGCUGAGCGGGGGCGUUUUAGGAGUCUGGAGAGCAGAGACUGGGUGCUGCGCAGAGGUGUGCAGGGGGACAAUCAAAUCCAAGGCCCCGCCCUCCCUUAGGCCCGCCCUUUGUCCCGCCCACGCCCCUCCUGGGUCCCAGUUCUGGACCAGGGACCCCACGCGCAUCUGGAGAAAGGAUCCAGGUCUUCAUCUGAGCCCACGGAAGCCGGGCCCGACCGCCGCAGGUGUCACUCUCAUCCGGACCUGGCCCUCCUACAGCUCCCCCAGGGAUGGUGCUGGCUGCUCUGCUGAUCGCCCUCAGCUGCCUUGGCCUCCACACCCUCUGGCAGGCCCAGGCUGUUCCCAUCCUGCCCCUGGGCCUGGCUCCAGACACCUUUGACGAUGCCUAUGUGGGUUGUUCAGAGGAGAUGGAGGUGAAGGCAGCCUCCCUGCUAAAGGAGGAGAUGACCCACCAUGCCCUGCUGCGGGAAUCCUGGGAGGCAGCCCAGGAGGCCUGGGAGAGCAGGCGACGAGGGCUCACUCUGCCCUCUGGCUUCAAAGCCCAGCAUGGAAUAGCCAUUAUGGUCUAUACCAACUCAUCUAACACCUUGUACUGGGAGCUGAACCACGCUGUGAGGACGGGUGGUGGCUCUCGGGAGCACUACAUGAGGCAUUUCCCCUUCAAGGCCCUACAUUUCUACCUGACCCGGGCCCUGCAGCUGCUGCGGGGCAGUGGAGGCUGCAGCAGGGGAUCUGGGGAGAUAGUGUUCCGAGGUGUGAGUAGCCUUCACUUUGAACCCAAGAGGCUGGGGGACUCUGUCCGCUUGGGCCAGUUUGCUUCCAGCUCCCUGGAUAAGGCGGUGGCCCACAGAUUUGGUAAUGCCACCCUCUUCUCUCUAAGGACUUGCUUUGGGGUCCCUAUCCAGGCCCUGUCUGUCUUUCCUGAGGAGCGUGAGGUGCUGAUUCCCCCCCAUGAAGUCUUCUUGGUCACCAGGUUCUUCCAGGAUAGAGCCCAGAGCCUAGUGACUCUCUGGAGUUAUAAUCAGACCUGCAGCCACUUUAACUGCGCCUACUUGGGUGGGGAGAAGAGAUGGGGCUGUGUGUUUGCACCAGCAGGCGGGCAGCCAGAGUCACCCUCUGAGGGGGCCUCCUCUCUGCUCUCCUGGAAGACCCUGUUCUUGGCCCCUGGGGGGUUCCAGCUGUCAGAAGCCGGGCCCUGAAAGUCCAACACCUGCCACUUAGGAGCCCUGGGAAUUAGUGACCUUCUUAUGAAGAAAGGGGGCUUCAAACAGCCCCAAGAAGCAAGAACAUUGUUUUGGACCCAGCCCUAGCAGCCAUCUCCCCAACCAGGGGUCUAUUUCAGGAGAACAAAGGGGAAGAACUCAAAACAUCAAGACAAGAGAUUCUCACACACUCUGGAGGCAUCUGAUAUCCAGAACAGAAACUUUAUUGAGGCAAGAAAGCAGCAUAGGCUCCUACUAAG